AUUGAACGCUGGCGGCAUGCUUUACACAUGCAAGUCGAACGGCAGCGCGGGGCAACCUGGCGGCGAGUGGCGAACGGGUGAGUAAUAUAUCGGAACGUACCCAGAAGUGGGGGAUAACGUAGCGAAAGUUACGCUAAUACCGCAUACGAUCUACGGAUGAAAGUAGGGGACCGCAAGGCCUUAUGCUUUUGGAGCGGCCGAUAUCUGAUUAGCUAGUUGGUGAGGUAAAGGCUCACCAAGGCGACGAUCAGUAGCUGGUCUGAGAGGACGACCAGCCACAAUGGACCGGAUCCACGCUCCAGCCUCCUACGGGAGGCCGCAGUGGGGAAUUUGGGACACAGGGCGCACGCCUGCUCCAGCAUUGCCGCGUGAGUGAAUAAGGCCUUCCGGUUGUCAAGCUCUUUUGUCAGGGAAGAAACAGUAGCGGCUAAUAUCCUUUGCUAAUGACGGUACCUUAAGAAUACGCACCUGCUAACUACGUG
rnacentral:rRNA from 1 species